UCAAUAAGCGGAGGAAAAGAAACCAACAGGGAUUGCCUCAGUAACGGCGAGUGAAGCGGCAAAAGCUCAAAUUUGAAAUCCCCCCGGGGAGUUGUAAUUUGAAGAUUGCGUCUUGGAGGCGACCGUGUCUAUGUUCCUUGGAACAGGACGUCACAGAGGGUGAGAAUCCCGUGCGGCACGGCCCCCGGCUCCUUAUAAGGCGCUCUCGACGAGUCGAGUUGUUUGGGAAUGCAGCUCAAAGUGGGUGGUAAAUUCCAUCUAAAGCUAAAUACAGGCGAGAGACCGAUAGCGAACAAGUACAGUGAUGGAAAGAUGAAAAGCACUUUGAAAAGAGAGUGAAACAGCACGUGAAAUUGUUGAAAGGGAAGGGCAUGCCGUCAGAUUGUCAGUGUGGGUAAGAAGCGGGGUACAAAGACUGUGGAACGUGGCCCUCGGGUGUUAUAGCCGCAGUUCAUGCCCCGUCUCUUUCCGAGGCCUGCUUUGAGGACACCGACGUAAUGACGGUACGCCGCCCGUCUUGAAA
rnacentral:rRNA from 1 species